rnacentral:rRNA from 1 species
UGGGGAAUUUUGGACAAUGGGCGAAAGCCUGAUCCAGCAAUGCCGCGUGUGUGAAGAAGGCCUUCGGGUUGUAAAGCACUUUUGUCCGGAAAGAAAUCCUUGGCUCUAAUACAGUCGGGGGAUGACGGUACCGGAAGAAUAAGCACCGGCUAACUACGUGCCAGCAGCCGCGGUAAUACGUAGGGUGCAAGCGUUAAUCGGAAUUACUGGGCGUAAAGCGUGCGCAGGCGGUUUGCUAAGACCGAUGUGAAAUCCCCGGGCUCAACCUGGGAACUGCAUUGGUGACUGGCAGGCUAGAGUAUGGCAGAGGGGGGUAGAAUUCCACGUGUAGCAGUGAAAUGCGUAGAGAUGUGGAGGAAUACCGAUGGCGAAGGCAGCCCCCUGGGCCAAUACUGACGCUCGUGCACGAAAGCGUGGGGAGCAAAACAGGAUUAGAUACCCUGGUAGUCCCACGCCCUAAAACCGAUGUCAACUAGUUGUUGGGGAUUCAUUUCCUUAGUAACGUAGCUAACGCGUGAAGUUGACCGCCUGGGGAGUACGGUCGCAAGA